GGACAGAAAGACCCUAUGAAGCUUGACUGUAUCCUGGAAUUGGGUUCGGGCUUUUCUUGCGCAGCCUAGGUGGGAGGCGUCGAAGAUUUCCUUCCGGGGAAGUUGGAGCCAACAGUGAGAGACCACUCUGGAGAGGCUAGAAUCCUAAUGGUGAUCCUUGGAUCAGGACACUUGACAGUUUCAGGUGGGCAGUUUUUCUGGGGCGGAAACCUCAUAAAAGGUAACUGAGGUGUGCAAAGGUCCCCUCAGUCUGGACGGAAAUCAGACAACGAGUGUAAAGGCAGAAGGGGGCUUGACUGCAAGACCUACAAGUCGAGCAGGAGCGAAAGCUGGCCUUAGUGAUCCGACGGUGCCGUGUGGAAGGGCCGUCGCUCA
rnacentral:rRNA from 1 species